rnacentral:RNase_P_RNA from 1 species
GAAGCCUGCCAGGCCGCCGCUGGCGCAAGGCCCGAAAGGGCGCGCUGGAGGAACGUCCGGACUGCACAGGACGGCGUAGCAGCUAACGGCUGCCCACCGUGAGGUGAGGAUCAGAGCAACAGAGACGAGUCCCCAUGAACCAUCCGCUGCGGUGGCAGGAGCGUGGGGGGUGAAACGGGCAAUCUCUACGCGCAGCAACACCAAGUAGGCCAGCCACGGCAGCGGGCAACCGCUGCCGACCCUGUGGUUCCGCAGGGCGUGCUGGCGGGUAGGUGGCACCGAGCCGCGUGGGCGACCCGCGGCCCAGAGGAAUGGCGGUCACAUCGGGGCAACCCGAUGCACAGAAUCCGGCGUAUCGGCAGGCUUCACUU